AGACCCGAAACCCGGUGAUCUAGCCAUGGGCAGGUUGAAGGUUGGGUAACACUAACUGGAGGACCGAACCGACUAAUGUUGAAAAAUUAGCGGAUGACCUGUGGCUGGGGGUGAAAGGCCAAUCAAACCGGGAGAUAGCUGGUUCUCCCCGAAAGCUAUUUAGGUAGCGCCUCGUGAAUUCAUCUCCGGGGGUAGAGCACUGUUUCGGCUAGGGGGCCAUCCCGGCUUACCAACCCGAUGCAAACUGCGAAUACCGGAGAAUGUUAUCACGGGAGACACACGGCGGGUGCUAACGUCCGUCGUGAAGAGGGAAACAACCCAGACCGCCAGCUAAGGUCCCAAAGUCAUGGUUAAGUGGGAAACGAUGUGGGAAGGCCCAGACAGCCAGGAUGUUGGCUUAGAAGCAGCCAUCAUUUAAAGAAAGCGUAAUAGCUCACUGGUCGAGUCGGCCUGCGCGGAAGAUGUAACGGGGCUAAACCAUGCACCGAAGCUGCGGCAGCGACACUGUGUGUUGUUGGGUAGGGGAGCGUUCUGUAAGCCUGUGAAGGUGGCCUGUGAGGGUUGCUGGAGGUAUCAGAAGUGCGAAUGCUGACAUAAGUAACGAUAAAGCGGGUGAAAAGCC
rnacentral:rRNA from 1 species